rnacentral:rRNA from 1 species
GUAGUCUCGCACAGAUGCAUAUCAAUAAGCGGAGGAAAAGAAACUAACAAGGAUUCCCUCAGUAACGGCGAGUGAAGCGGGAAGAGCUCAAAUUUGAAAUCUUGAAAGGUCACCUUUCACGAAUUGUAGUUUAAAGAAGUGUUUUCUGUUACGAUCGUAAUAUAAGUUCUUUGGAAUAGGACAUCACAGAGGGUGAGAAUCCCGUCUAUGAUUGCGAUUUGUAGCUUUGUGAUACACUUUCAAAGAGUCGGGUUGUUUGGGAAUGCAGCCCAAAACGGGAGGUAAAUUUCUUCUAAGGCUAAAUAUUGGCGAGAGACCGAUAGCGAACAAGUACCGUGAGGGAAAGAUGAAAAGAACUUUGAAAAGAGAGUUAAAUAGUACGUGAAAUUGUCAAAAGGGAAGCGUUUAACACCAGUGUUGUUUUCUGAAAAUCAACCUCUGUUAGCUUUAUGCAUGUUUGUUUAGACCUAAUCAGCUAUCUUGCAUGUUCUAUUGUUUGCAGUGGUGCACUUUUCAGUUUACAGGUCAACAUCAGUUUUUUUUACCGUAAAAAAGUUAAAGAAAGGUAGCUCAUGGCUCCGGUCGUGAGUGUUAUAGUCUUUUUCCUAUGCGGUAGGAGAGACUGAGGUCUGCAGUGUAGGCUAUUUGGCUAGAUACUCAGGUGCUAUGUGAUACCAUUUCGAGUAAACAACUUGUUGAUUAUGUUUUGUCUAUUGCAUACUCGCUUGUACUAUCAUACCUACGCUUAGGAUGUUGAGUCGUAGAGCACGCAG